UACGGAGGGGGCUAGCGUUGUUCGGAAUUACUGGGCGUAAAGCGCGCGUAGGCGGCUUUGUAAGUUAGAGGUGAAAGCCCGGAGCUCAACUCCGGAACUGCCUUUAAGACUGCAUCGCUAGAAUUGUGGAGAGGUAAGCGGAAUUCCGAGUGUAGAGGUGAAAUUCGUAGAUAUUCGGAAGAACACCAGUGGCGAAGGCGACUUACUGGACACAUAUUGACGCUGAGGUGCGAAAGCGUGGGGAGCAAACAGG
rnacentral:rRNA from 1 species